rnacentral:rRNA from 1 species
ACUAAAGCUAGCCCAAACAUUAAUCAAUUCGUAAAAAUAUCUUUCCACUUACUAAAACAAAACAUUUACACCUAUAAAAGUAUAGGAGAUAGAAAUUAUAAUUUGGAGCCAUAGAGGAAGUACCGUAAGGGAACGACUGAAAGAAUAAUUAAAAGUAUAAAAUAGCAAAGAUUACCCCUUGUACCUUUUGCAUAAUGAUUUAACUAGAAUAAACUUAGCAAAGAGCUCUUAAGUUAAUAACCCCGAAACCAGACGAGCUAUCCAUGAACAGCCAAGAGGGCAAACUCAUCUAUGUGGCAAAAUAGUGAGAAGAUUUAUGGAUAGAGGUGAAAAGCCUACCGAGCCUGGUGAUAGCUGGUUGUCCAGAAAAGAAUUUUAGUUCAACCUUAAAUUUACUCAACUAAAAACCUAAUUAGAUAUGUAAAUUUAAUUGUUAUUCCAAAGAGGUACAGCUCUUUGGACCUAGGAUACAACCUUAAUUAGAGAGUAAACCUUUAAAACAACCAUAGUUGGCCUAAAAGCAGCCAUCAAUUAAGAAAGCGUUCAAGCUCAACAAUAAAAAAUGAAUUUAAUACAUAAAAUAGACACUCAACUCCUAAUCUAUUACUGGACUAAUCUAUACAAUUAUAGAAGAAAUACUGUUAAUAUGAGUAACAAGAUCUUAAUCUCCAAGCACAAGUGUAUAUCAGACCAAAUACUAACUGAUAAUUAACAACAGAUAAAUAAACCCUUACAUAAACAAUUUAUCCCUACACUGUUAAUCCGACACAGGAGUGCACCAAGGAAAGAUUAAAAGAAGUAAAAGGAACUCGGCAAACACAAACCCCGCCUGUUUACCAAAAACAUCACCUCUAGCAUCACAAAUAUUAGAGGCACUGCCUGCCCAGUGACAAUUGUUUAACGGCCGCGGUAUCCUGACCGUGCAAAGGUAGCAUAAUCAUUUGUUCCCUAAAUAGGGACUUGUAUGAAUGGCCACACGAGGGUUUAACUGUCUCUUACUUCCAAUCAGUGAAAUUGACCUCUCCGUGAAGAGGCGGAGAUAUUUUAAUUAGACGAGAAGACCCUAUGGAGCUUUAAUUUAUCUACUCCAAUAGAAUAAAUAUUUAUCCACCAAGGAUUAACACUAAUUCUAACUGGUUAGAAAAUUUUGGUUGGGGUGACCUCGGAGAACAACUUAACCUCCGAGAAUUUUUACUAAGACUUACAAGUCAACGUAUCAACAUAUUAAUUGAUCCAGUCCAUCUGAUCAACGGAACAAGUUACCCUAGGGAUAACAGCGCAAUCCUAUUCUAGAGUUCAUAUCGACAAUUAGGGUUUACGACCUCGAUGUUGGAUCAGGACAUCCCAAUGGUGCAGCAGCUAUUAAUGGUUCGUUUGUUCAACGAUUAAAGUCCUACGUGAUCUGAGUUCAGACCGGAGUAAUCCAGGUCGGUUUCUAUCUAUUUAACAUUUCUCCCAGUACGAAAGGACAAGAGAAAUAGGGCCCACUCCUGAAGAGCGCCCUCAAGUGAAUAAAUGAUAUUAUCUUAAAUUAAUUAACUUAAUAAUAUUAACACCCUAGACCAGGGUCGU